UACAGAGGGUGCGAGCGUUGUUCGGAAUUAUUGGGCGUAAAGGGCGCGUAGGCGGCGCGACAAGUCACCUGUGAAACCUCUGGGCUUAACCCAGAGCCUGCAGGCGAAACUGUCGUGCUGGAGUAUGGGAGAGGUGCGUGGAAUUCCUGGUGUAGCGGUGGAAUGCGCAGAUAUCAGGAGGAACACCGAUGGCGAAGGCAGAUCUCUGGGCCGUAACUGACGCUGAGGAGCGAAAGCAUGGGGAGCGAACAGG
rnacentral:rRNA from 1 species